UAGGGCCAUGGAAUCAAUUAUAAUCACGAAUCGAUUUUAAUUUUUGUUUAUUUUUGGUAACAAGCAACACUUAAAUGGUUAAAUUGUGUGCAGGGUUCAAGUCAAUUUUUCCCAAAGAUUCUUGUUGUUGUGUGAUUGUUAGCCUAGGAUAUAUUUGGCAUCAUUCCUGGGGAUACAGAUUACCAGAUUUUUGCUAAAGAUAAUGGCGAUAUUCAAGGACUGGACAUUAUCUUUGUCCUUGGUGGUUAUUUCUAUCAUACAUCUUACGAUACAAUCGAAAGGCUAUUGUAUGCAUUAGGAAGUACUGUUAUUCAAAUUCUCUGUUUUGAAUAUCUUGAUCUUGAUAUCUUCACUAAGUGGGUUUUGAUAUUAGAAUGUAUUGAUGAAACAGUCCCGGAAGUAUUCCAGGACUGGAUCUUGUUUGUUCCCCAGCAACAAGGCUGCAAUACUGAAUUUUAAUGUUGCAUGUGGAAUGGAGUUUUAAUGUUGUUUUGAUACAA